AUCUAAUCCCCAUAGAUGACAAGAUGCCGUCGUUUCCAACUGCACCCACCAAAAUAAUUGCGAAAAAACAUGGUUCUAAAAACCAGGCCACUGUUACUCAAAUGGAGCCUUCGAAUUCAGAGGAGUCCACCCCUGAUUCUGAACAUCCUGCCAAAUCCCCUACAGACGUUGGUCCAGAGGAGAUGUC